rnacentral:rRNA from 1 species
CAGUAGCGCGGUAAUACGGAGGGCGCGAGCGUUACCCGGAUUUACUGGGCGUAAAGGGCGUGUAGGCGGCCUGGGGCGUCCCAUGUGAAAGGCCACGGCUCAACCGUGGAGGAGCGUGGGAUACGCUCAGGCUAGAGGGUGGGAGAGGGUGGUGGAAUUCCCGGAGUAGCGGUGAAAUGCGCAGAUACCGGGAGGAACGCCGAUGGCGAAGGCAGCCACCUGGUCCACUUCUGACGCUGAGGCGCGAAAGCGUGGGGAGCAAACCGGAUUAGAUACCCCAGUAGUCCCUGUCUCUUAUACA